UACGUAGGGUGCGAGCGUUGUCCGGAAUUAUUGGGCGUAAAGAGCUCGUAGGCGGUGUGUCACGUCGGCCGUGAAAACCUGGGGCUCAACUCUGGGCGUGCGGUCGAUACGGGCAUCACUUGAGUUCGGCAGGGGAGACUGGAAUUCCUGGUGUAGCGGUGAAAUGCGCAGAUAUCAGGAGGAACACCGGUGGCGAAGGCGGGUCUCUGGGCCGAUACUGACACUGAGGUGCGAAAGCGUGGGGAGCAAACAGG
rnacentral:rRNA from 1 species